rnacentral:rRNA from 1 species
UAAGAGAGUUUGAUCCUGGCUCAGGAUGAACGCUGGCGGUAUGCCUUACACAUGCAAGUCGUACGAGAGUUUUUAACUCUAGUGGCGGACGGGUGAGUAACACGUAAGAAUUUACCUUUAGGAGGGGGACAACAACUGGAAACGGUUGCUAAUACCCCAUAUGCUUUCGAGUGAAACGGAUUUCCGCCUAAAGAGAAGCUUGCGGCUGAUUAGCUUGUUGGUGAGGUAAUGGCUCACCAAGGCGACGAUCAGUAUCUGGUUUGAGAGGACGAUCAGACACACUGGAACUGAGACACGGUCCAGACUCCUACGGGAGGCAGCAGUGGGGAAUAUUGGACAAUGGGGGCAACCCUGAUCCAGCCAUGCCGCGUGAGUGAUGAAGGCCCUAGGGUUGUAAAGCUCUUUCAGCGAGGAGGAUAAUGACGUUACUCGCAGAAGAAGCCCCGGCUAACUUCGUGCCAGCAGCCGCGGUAAUACGGAGGGGGCUAGCGUUGUUCGGAAUUACUGGGCGUAAAGCGCACGUAGGCGGACUUUUAAGUCAGGGGUGAAAUCCCAGAGCUCAACUCUGGAACUGCCUUUGAUACUGGAAGUCUUGAGUCCGAGAGAGGUGAGUGGAACUCCGAGUGUAGAGGUGAAAUUCGUAGAUAUUCGGAAGAACACCAGUGGCGAAGGCGGCUCACUGGCUCGGUACUGACGCUGAGGUGCGAAAGCGUGG